rnacentral:lncRNA from 1 species
CGGAGUCUUACUCUGUUGCCAGGCUGGAGUGCAGUGGCACGAUCUUGGCUCACUGCAAUCUCUGCGUCACGGGUUUAAGUGAUUCUCCUGCCUCAGCCUCCUGAGUAGCUGGGACUACAGGCAUGCACCACCACACCCGGCUAAUUUUUGUAUUUUUAGUAGAGACGGGGUUUCACCAUGUUGGCCAGGAUGGUCUCAAUCUCCUGACCUCGUAAUCCACCCACGUUGUUCUCCCAAAGUGCUGGGAUUACAAGGUGUGAGCCACCGCGCCCGGCCCAAACAUAUUCUUAUACAAUUCUCUUCUUAGAUAUAGGGUUUGCAAACAUUUUAUCUCACAUUGUAAUUAUUUUUUCAUUUUCUUGAAAGUCUACUUUGAUACAGGAAUAUUUGUGAAUUUUAUAAAGUACAGCUUAUCUAUAUUUUCUAUUAUACUUGUGGUUUUGGUAUGAUAUCCAUAAAAUCAUUGCCUAACCCAAGGUCACAAAGCCUCAGUCCCAUAUUUUCUCCUACGUGUACUAAACUUUUGGCUUUUAUAUUUAGGUCUUUGAUCCAUUUAGGGUUAACUUUUAUAAAUGGUGUGAGGGAGGGGACUAACUUCAGUCUGUACAUGUGAACAUCAAUCUGUCCCAGGACAUUUUUGAAAAGACUAUUCACUCCCCAUUGAAUUGCCUUGUCUCCCUUGUCAAAGUCACAACAAUUACUGUCCUCAUUUUUGUAUCUGGUCACAUGUUCCUAGUUAGUAACUAUAACUACCCUCUUCUACUACGCAUUCUGUAUUCCCUUAGCUUUCAGCAAGCAACUCAGUUGGUCUUGAUUCUUUAUAUGGGGCAAUGACCCAAACUUUCCUUCCUGAAGGAAUUGGGCCAUUGGCAGCUGUGCCCGAAUUGGGUUGUUGUAGUUUUCCAUUAAAUUAAUCACAGGGCAUGGUAGUAGGUAGCACUGAAGACACCCUAGGAGAUCCCAUGUAUUCCAGAAGUAUUAUUUCUUAGUUCUGUGGAGUAGAAGCAAUUAACCCUUGGUAGUCAGGAUCAACCACCUCUGCCAGCACGGUAACUCCCUUCUUUGCCUGUCUAUUCAGAGGCAUGAGGAGCUCAGAGUGGACAGGGACUAUCUUAACUUCCAGUUCAGUAGAAUCAUUUCUUUGUAUCGUGGGGGAUGCAUUCCUCCUUUUGGGACCAAGACUUCUAGACCAGCAGAGCAUAAGAUUGAGGGACAGGAAAUGAAAAUUUUGCUGGUGUGUCACUAGGGGUAAUAGUGAUGAUGAGAACCAAUUGGUGUGGGAGACCAUGAGGUGGAUAAGGCACUCUGUAAGUCCAGACAGUAGUGUGAUUUUUAUGAAGUACAAUUUAUCAGUGGUGAUAGGAACAUUGAGGGUAGGAGGGGAAAUUCUCAUACAUAGUGUCUGUUUCAGUGAGAACAAGACACUGCCUCUUCUAUGAUGGAGGUGGUUCAGAGUCACAGCCAGGUUACCUUGGGAGUGGAAGUCCAUGUUGCAGAGCCCAGGCAUCACCUCCACCCCUGCCACCAUGGCCACUGUAUUCAUGAGCCCAUUGAGCAAUGACAGGGGUGGCUGGGGAAAGAGGCUGAGUGGUGUCCACAGAACAGGUCAUCCUAUCUGCUUGAUUAUUGAAAUCCUUCUCUGCCAAGGCCACCCUUUGGAGAGCAUUUACAUAGCACUCAAUGCACUCUUGCUUUUGGUUUACUCUUUUACUAGGUGAAACCAGUCCUAGUGGCUCAUAACUGGGUUUUCCUAUCAUACUUGUCCUCAGUCCGUAGGUGAAACAACAAAUGUAGGGAUGCUGAAAGUUGCUGAGUAUGUGUCUAUUCCAACCACAGGGUGGGUUCAGGGACACAUUGGAUCCACUGUGAAACAGACAUGAGCUCACACUCCAUCCACCAGCUAACCUCCAUAAGUCCCUACUCUGGUGGACCACAGUGAUGUUUUUGGUCUCUGGGAAUUCCUGUCAAAUCAGAGCCAGUGUCCAGAAUUCCCCAAAUAUCUGAGAAUUUUCUUUUCUCUAAGUCACAGUCAUCCUGGUAGAAGGCUGUAGGUCCCUUUGGGGAAGACUGGGAAAAAGAUUAACUAUGUAAGUUUUUGGCAAUGUAGCAGCGUACUUCCCCAAGAUCACCCAGCCUCCCCUUCACUUAGGGGUUGUGGGCCUGUGAACUGGCUCAAGUCUGGGAAUUGAUUGAGGGUUUAGAUCUGUGUUUCAUUAAUUUGAGUUAGUCUUUUAUUCAGUUGACCUAGAAUUCUUCAUUUUUUAAAAAACAACUAAGACUUUGGUACAGCCCAUUAGCUCUCCCUGUGGAUACCAUGGACUACACAAUGCCAUGGGUUUCUGUGAGUCAAACCAUUCUGACUGCUGCUUUGACACUGCUUUCCACUGUAGUGACCACACCCACCUCAUCUUUGGUGAUUAAGGACAGCCCAUGUUCCCUGCCACCCCAGGAUUCAAUUAUCCUCAUUUUAUUUAAAGAUCCCAGUCCAGUGGCUGCAGUUUCUGCUGUAACAUUUUGCCUACUGAGAGCACGAGCUCAAAGCUCUUCCAGGAUACUGGGCUCCUCUCACAAUAUUCUUUCUCAUGAUCGUUGUGAGAAGUAUGUUCUGUAGACCCUCCAGUGUGAGUGAGCAGGUCUGACAUAAUAAAUCCAGUCUCCCUGAGUUUUUGCAUACCUUCCUAUACACAUAAACCAAGGAAGUUGUGACAUCUCAACUUUAUGUACUUUAGGUAAACUCUGAUUCUGUUUCAGCCAACCAGCCAAGUAACAAAACAAAUAAGCAAACAGCCAACCAAUCAACCAACAAGCAAGCAAGCAACAAACCAACCAAACAAGCAAGCAAGCAAGCAAGCAACCAACCAACCAACCAAGUAACCGAUCAAACCAACCCUUGGAGCCCUUUCUAAAACUUUGACCUACAACCCUGAAUCCAGAAUCUCUGUUUAGUGGGCCAACAUUAAUAAAUUUAGCCUACUCCAACUUUGUGUUACUUCCACCAUGGUGCCACACACUUAAUAUCCAUUCCCACAUAUAUUCUCCAGAUUUCUUUCUGUAUAAAUUGUGUGUGUGUGUGUGUGUGUGUGUGUAGAAAGAGAGCAUCAACUGAAAAAUCACACAAUUUUAUAAAUUUAGAAAAGAGAGCUUUAUUUCUUAUAAAGGUUUGCAGCCUGCAAGGUGGCCAUUAUGACAGGCUGGGAAGUGUGGCCUACAGCCAAGGCUAGAGGCAGGCCCUUCCAGGGAGGGAAGGAGAGGACAGGAAUUUGAGCUGAAUGAGUUGACUACAUAUACAUACUCAAUAGGAUAUCAGAGGAGCUAUAUCAUUUUAUGAGAAUACUCAUAAAAGAGGUCCUAACACAUGCAUAUUGAAUAAACAUGCAUGUUCAUUCUGGGGUGGAGACUUGACAUUUAAAUGUGUUAUAAUUAGGCCCUACACAUCAAAAAGUGAAGCAGGGAAUGAAGGUACUCAGCCUCUGUAAAGGCACAGCCUCUAAAACUGGCCAGAACCAGUCCAUGGAGGAUGGUCUCUUAUCAGGAGAAAGUUACUGAAAUCAGUCCCUUGUCCAGUGAAAGCUGUCGUUAAGGUCGGUGGGGCAGGAGAUCAGUUACUCAGUGUCUGUGAACUGGGUGAGUUGUAAUUGUUUUAAUCUUGCUUCUCUCAUAGCCAG